AUUUAAAUAGUUUAAAAAAAGACGUUGGUUUGUGGGGCCGAAGAUAUAAAUUUUUAUUUUAGAUU
rnacentral:tRNA from 1 species